GAUGAACGCUGACAGAAUGCUUAACACAUGCAAGUCAACUUGAACUUCGGUUUGGGUGGCGGACGGGUGAGUAACGCGUAAAGAACUUGCCUCACAGAUAGGGACAACAUUUGGAAACGAAUGCUAAUACCUGAUAUUAUGAUUAUAUGGCAUCGUAUAAUUAUGAAAGCUAUAUGCGCUGUGAGAGAGCUUUGCGUCCCAUUAGCUAGUUGGAGAGGUAACGGCUCACCAAGGCGAUGAUGGGUAGCCGGCCUGAGAGGGUGAUCGGCCACAAGGGGACUGAGACACGGCCCUUACUCCUACGGGAGGCAGCAGUGGGGAAUAUUGGACAAUGGACCAAGAGUCCGAUCCAGCAAUUCUGUGUGCACGAUGAAGUUUUUCGGAAUGUAAAGUGCUUUCAGUUGGGAAGAAAAAAAUGACGGUACCAACAGAAGAAGUGACGGCUAAAUACGUG
rnacentral:rRNA from 1 species